rnacentral:lncRNA from 1 species
UCGUGAAAAUGAAACUCGUGAAAAUGAAACUCGUGAAAAUGAAAUUCGUGAAAGUGAAACUCGUGAAAGUGAAACUCGUGAGGGUAGUACUAAUGAGAUCACGAAGAUAAAACAAAACGAAGUGACAUAUACUGAUAAAAGUAGAAAUCAGGUUGAGCAACAAAACAGCAUAAAACAUAUUAGCAGGUCAGAACAAAAUGGUUUUACAAAUGAUAGUAAAAAUGUGUUAACAAAAGGAAAAAGUAAGUCUCAUUAUUAUGCUAAUCUCAACCUAGAUCAAAGAGAUGGAAAUGGAGAUGGCGUUAUGAUGCGAACAAAAAAUACAGACAAAUUUGUUAGAAGAGAUACUGAAAAAAAUAAAAUUCACAAUGUCAUAGAUAGUUCUUAUGAGUGUGAAUAUACAAAAAAAGAUUUGAAAAAAAAUGCGCAAAAUGGAGGUUACUCCAAAUGUGAGCUUUUCAGUAAUACAUUCAACGAUGUAGGUGAGGAACUUAACUGCAUGAGAGGUGGCUUAAUACAUAAUGCUAACUAUGAAGAUAAUAAUGCUGUUAAGUUUGAUUCAGAUCGUGUUAACGUACCUGAUGAUACAGCAGAAGACAGACUACGCAGCCUAUCACACGAUAGUAACAAUAAAACGUCAAAUUUAGAAGUAGGACAAAAUAAAAUGCAUGUAAUCGAAUUUGAGCUUAAUAAAAAAGGCGAACAAAAGAAGUUUAACAAAAAAAAAGAAGAGUCUUCGUUUAGUAAGCCAAUAGAUAAACAGGCGUUAGGUGGUCCAAACAAAUACAACAGUGCAAGUGCCAUUUUUAUACAAAGAAAAGAUAUACAUAGAGGAAUAAAAAACGUUUUAAUAAUAUUGCAUAAUAAAAUAAUUAGUGGUUUAAUUAGUGUGGAAUAUAUUGGUGAGUGUUUGUUUAAUUUUUUUUCUUGUGUUAAUGUGGAUCGUAUAUUAAAAAGUCCCAGUUUGAGGGUAAAAAAAGAGCUACUAAAAUUGUUUGAUCAGUUUGGGAUUUACACUUCAUACGACAUUGGAAAGUGCGUAAUAAAAUGGUAUAUGAAUGAAAUAAAUAUGAACAGGAUAGGUAAAAGUGUUAAUAAUAACACAAAAAAUGAGGGAAUAAAAA